UAUGGUAAUUGUGUGCAGCCGCGGUAAUACGGAAGGUCCGGGCGUUAUCCGGAUUUAUUGGGUUUAAAGGGAGCGUAGGCCGGAGAUUAAGCGUGUUGUGAAAUGUAGACGCUCAACGUCUGCACUGCAGCGCGAACUGGUUUCCUUGAGUACGCACAAAGUGGGCGGAAUUCGUGGUGUAGCGGUGAAAUGCUUAGAUAUCACGAAGAACUCCGAUUGCGAAGGCAGCUCACUGGAGCGCAACUGACGCUGAAGCUCGAAAGUGCGGGUAUCGAACAGG
rnacentral:rRNA from 1 species